CCGGGGGACGGACUGGGA
rnacentral:snRNA from 1 species